UACGAAGGGGGCUAGCGUUGUUCGGAAUUACUGGGCGUAAAGGGCCUGUAGGCGGCCAACUAAGUCACACGUGAAAUCCCCAGGCUUAACCUGGGAACUGCGUGUGAUACUGGAUGGCUUGAAUUCGGGAGAGGGAUGCAGAAUUCCAGGUGUAGCGGUGAAAUGCGUAGAUAUCUGGAGGAAUACCGGUGGCGAAGGCGGCAUCCUGGACCGACAUUGACGCUGAACGGCGAAAGCUAGGGGAGCAAACAGG
rnacentral:rRNA from 1 species